AUGAACGCUAGCUACAGGCUUAACACAUGCAAGUCGAGGGGCAGCAUGGUCUUAGCUUGCUAAGGCCGAUGGCGACCGGCGCACGGGUGAGUAACGCGUAUCCAACCUGCCUUACACUCUUGGACAGCCUUCUGAAAGGGAGAUUAAUACAAGAUGUUAUCAUGAGUAAGCAUUUUCGCAUGAUUAAAGGUUUACCGGUGUAAGAUGGGGGUGCGUUCCAUUAGAUAGUAGGCGGGGUAACGGCCCACCUAGUCUUCGAUGGAUAGGGGUUCUGAGAGGAAGGUCCCCCACAUUGGAACUGAGACACGGUCCAAACUCCUACGGGAGGCAGCAGUGAGGAAUAUUGGUCAAUGGACGAGAGUCUGAACCAGCCAAGUAGCGUGAAGGAUGAAGGUUCUAUGGAUUGUAAACUUCUUUUAUACGGGAAUAAACGAAUCCACGUGUGGAUUUUUGCAUGUACCGUAUGAAUAAGGAUCGGCUAACUCCGUGCCAGCAGCCGCGGUAAUACGGAGGAUCCGAGCGUUAUCCGGAUUUAUUGGGUUUAAAGGGAGCGUAGAUGGGUUGUUAAGUCAGUUGUGAAAGUUUGCGGCUCAACCGUAAAAUUGCAAUUGAUACUGGCAGUCUUGAGUACAGUUGAGGUAGGCGGAAUUCGUGGUGUAGCGGUGAAAUGCUUAGAUAUCACGAAGAACUCCGAUUGCGAAGGCAGCUUACUAACCUGUAACUGACAUUGAUGCUCGAAAGUGUGGGUAUCAAACAGGAUUAGAUACCCUGGUAGUCCACACGGUAAACGAUGAAUACUCGCUGUAGGCGAUAUACAGUCUGCGGCCAAGCGAAAGCAUUAAGUAUUCCACCUGGGGAGUACGCCGGCAACGGUGAAACUCAAAGGAAUUGACGGGGGCCCGCACAAGCGGAGGAACAUGUGGUUUAAUUCGAUGAUACGCGAGGAACCUUACCCGGGCUUAAAUUGCAACCGAAUAUGGCGGAAACGCUAUAGCUAGCAAUAGCGGUUGUGAAGGUGCUGCAUGGUUGCCGUCAGCUCGUGCCGUGAGGUGUCGGCUUAAGUGCCAUAACGAGCGCAACCCUUGCCGAUAGUUACUAACAGGUUAUGCUGAGGACUCUGUCGGGACUGCCAUCGUAAGAUGUGAGGAAGGUGGGGAUGACGUCAAAUCAGCACGGCCCUUACGUCCGGGGCUACACACGUGUUACAAUGGGGGGUACAGAGGGCUGCUACCACGCAAGUGGAUGCCAAUCCCAAAAACCUCUCUCAGUUCGGAUUGAAGUCUGCAACCCGACUUCAUGAAGCUGGAUUCGCUAGUAAUCGCGCAUCAGCCACGGCGCGGUGAAUACGUUCCCGGGCCUUGUACACACCGCCCGUCAAGCCAUGGGAGCCGGGGGUACCUGAAGUGCGUAACCGCAAGGAGCGCCCUAGGGUAAAACUGGUGACUGGGGCU
rnacentral:rRNA from 1 species